CUAUCAAUACCCCCUAACAAACCUAAACCACCAAAUAUUAAACCAUUUUUCCCCCUAAGUAUGGGCGACAGAAAAGGAUAUACCCAGAGCUAUAGAAAAAGUACCGCAAGGGAAUGCUGAAAAAGAACUGAAAUAAACCAGUAAAGUUAAAAAAAGCAGAGACUUAUUCUCGUACCUUUUGCAUCAUGAUUUAGUUAGUAAAAACCAAGCAAAAAGCAUUUUAGUUUGAUUUCCCGAAACUAAGUGAGCUACUCCAAGACAGCCUAAAAACAAGGGCCAACCCGUCUCUGUGGCAAAAGAGUGGGACGAUCUUAGAGUAGUGGUGACAGACCUACCGAACUUAGUUAUAGCUGGUUGUCUGAGAAAUGAAUAGAAGUUCAGCUUUUUGGUUUCUUCCUCCCAACCUACUUUAGCCACAGCUGAUUCAAAGAAAUCAAAAAAGUUAAUUAAAGGGGGUACAGCCCCUUUAAACCAAGAUACAACUUCCUUAGAAAGGUAAAGAUCACAAUCAUCAAGGCAAAAUGUUCUAGUGGGCCUAAAAGCAGCCACCUACAAGAAAGCGUUAAAGCUCAGACAUAUCUACCAACCUACAAUUUAGAUAAACCAUCUAAGCCUACUAAUAUUACCAGACCGCCCCAUGCUGGCAUGGGGGUGAUUAUGCUAAUAUGAGUAAUAAGAAAGAUUAGUCUUUCUCCUUGCACCUGUGUAAAUCGAAACGGACUAACCAUCGAGCGUUACCGGCCCCAAUAAAAGAGGGAAAUGAGUCACAAGCCUACAAACAAGAAAAACACCCAAAAAAAACCGUUAACCCCACACUGGUGUGCUUACAAGGAAAGAUUUAAAGGAAAAGAAGGAACUCGGCAAACCUAAGCCUCGCCUGUUUACCAAAAACAUCGCCUCUUGCAAACAUAGUAUAAGAGGUCC
rnacentral:rRNA from 1 species